rnacentral:lncRNA from 1 species
AAUUAGUAACCAUGCUGCACAAACACUCAAAUAAUAAUUCCACUCAUGACAUCCACCAACCUAAGCUCAUCAGUCACUAUCAGUUUCAAGACUCCGGAAGAAUUUCACGGAAGGAUACAGCAUCUUAUUCCACAGCCAUAAGCUACCAUAGACCUUGCUUUUCCUCGGUGUCCUGAUUCUCGUUUGGUUCUAGAUCUAUAGAAAUUCAACGAGAACAUCAUAUUUCAAAUUCUCCUGAAGGCAGCAGGAUUCCAAUAACCUAAAAAUAGAUUUCAAGACCAGAUAAUCAUUCCAAUCAGAUAAACUCUAACUCUAUUUUUGAUUAUUCAAGCCCACACCAAACUACAACCUUUACAAAUGCAAGUUGCUAUGUAUCUCAAAGGGAGCAGUUCUAUGCAACUCAGAGUUCGGAUCCUCUGCAGCACGUAUUAAGUAGGAUUUCAAAGUAAAUAAUAUUAUGAAGCAUGAUGACCCAAUAUCAUCAUUUACCCCAUUCGUGAGCAACAAAAUGCUAGCAGGGACACUACACGGACCCUUGACUGCCUUCAUGUCGUAGACACCUUCUAAAACAUUGCAAUCAAGGACUAAUUCAAUUUAGAGAAUCUAGCAUAAAUUGGUCAAAAUGCAGAAAACAUAUUACAAAAAAAAUAAAAAAGUUUAUCUACUAUCCAGCUCAACAAAAUCUAAGAAGAUUUUAGAAAAUUU